UACGGAGGGUGCAAGCGUUAUCCGGAUUCACUGGGUUUAAAGGGUGCGUAGGUGGGUUGGUAAGUCAGUGGUGAAAUCUCCAGGCUUAACUUGGAAACUGCCAUUGAUACUAUCACUCUUGAAUACCGUGGAGGUCAGCGGAAUAUGUCAUGUAGCGGUGAAAUGCUUAGAUAUGACAUAGAACACCAAUGCGAAGGCGCUGGCUACAACGAAUAUUGACACUGAUGCACGAAAGCGUGGGAUCAAACAGG
rnacentral:rRNA from 1 species